ACCAUAGCCAAGUUGGUAAGGCAGAGGUCUGCAAAACCUUUAUUCGCGAGUUCGAGUCCCGCUGGUGC
rnacentral:tRNA from 1 species